UCUAUCAGCGCUCUCGAUAACAUCGGGCGUGGAACUUCGAAGAUCUAAUACCCAAUCUAAAAUAGCUUCCUCGUGCAUCAUGUCUCCUGUAUAAAACUGACGAAAUUUGUUCCUGUAAAAUGCAAGAGCUGGUAGCCCAGUUUGGAAUUAACCUCUUCGAUCUUCCCUGGUAUCUCCAGUGUAUUUUCGUCCGUGAUCCAGGACAGAACUUCGUCCUCGUCUCCAAGAUCACCAGGAUAUAUCAAAGGUUCUUUAUUUCUAAAGAAAGCCAAAGUGGGGAAGCUUCUAAUACCAUAUUUCUUGGCAAGUGGCAUAUCUUCCGUCGUCACGAAAAUAAUACCAGCUUCGUCUAACUCGUCGUCGAUAUUUUCUAAUUCUAAAAGAACGUUAUCGCAGCUUUCACCUUCGUCACAGCUUCCACCUUGAAGAAAAUUGAAGAGAAUUAAGACACGACAAGUUAAAAAGAGAAUGUUAAAGCGCGGAACAAGGAUUGGAGAGUAUGAGAAUGGAAAAAAGAAAAAAGAGAAGGACAAUUGCAACCUGCGUAUCACAAUAAAUUAAAGCUACUAUUAUCGACUAUGUUGGAUUUUUCCUUUUUUUUUUUACAAAGGGAGAAAUGUAUCUUUAGUAAUAAUCGAUGAAAUCUACUUUGCGAUGGAGAAAUAAUUCUCUCAAUAUGAUGUUAAUUAGAAUGAUAUUGAAAAUGAACAAAAACGAGAAGAAGUUAUAAAUUAAAUGAAGGGUAGAGAGAAGAUAAAGAGAACAAAAACUCACAGAAAAGAACCGCUACGAAUUCCGUAUCUUCGACGAUUUUAUCCAGAAUUUUAGCAUUUACUUCUUCUAUCCGAUCUGGUAAAUCCAUUGCCUCUAAACUGAAGAAAAUAUCUCAUUAGCGGAAACCUCAUUAAAAUUUUUAAUGAAAAAUAAAUUAUGCCAUAUAAUUAUGAUACAAUAUCAUAAAUGCUCGAUCAAGCCUCACGUGUUAACAAAAAUUUCAACUUGUAAAUUAUAUCACACAGUUAAACUCAAGAUUUAUAAAAAAGACACGUCAUGAAAACAAUCUCAAUAGAUUCAAACGCUUAAGUACGUAUGAUAAAGUUGAGAGUUACAUGUAAAUUAUAUUCUCUACUGUAAUCUUAAAUUUCAUAGUUGUAGAUAACGCAUAAUUAAUUCAUUAAUUAAUUAACAAAAAAACUACAACUGAAUUAAAAAAAAAAAAAAAAGAAGAAGAAGAAGAAAAAAAAGGUCCUCAUAGUUGACAUUUUAAAGAUAGUAGAAUCUAACAAUAAACUCCAAUAAGGAGGACACAGUAUCGAAAGAAAUAGAAAAACGAUUAAGGGAUGCAAAAAGGAAUAUACAUAGUUAAGUUUUAUCGUAUGGCAGUAGGCAACCCAAAGAAAAAAAAGAAAAGUACAAGGAAAAGAAAAAAAAAAAGAAGAAGAAGCAGCAGAAAAAAAGAAACGAAACGAAAACGAAAAAAAAGGAAAAAGAAAAAGAUAGCCUCUGAGGCGGCACGAGACGAUGAGAGCGGGAGAACGUGCCAGCUGGAAAUAGGUUCGACGUGAGAGCUCGUGGUCCGGGUCCUCCUCCUCUACGUAUACACGCGUAUAACAGAGAAAAUAAUCACUAUGAAUUCGUCGGGAUAAAACGAAUAAAUAUUUUGACGAUGAUGAUACGUAAUUGUAACAAUGUCACACUUACACCAAAACACAGCAACGAAGUCCUU